rnacentral:rRNA from 1 species
UGAGGAAUAUUGGACAAUGGAGGAAACUCUGAUCCAGCCAUGCCGCGUGAGUGAAGAAGGCCUUCGGGUUGUAAAGCUCUUUUGUCCCUGACGAUAAUGACGGUAGGGGAAGAAAAAGCCACGGCUAACUUCGUGCCAGCAGCCGCGGUAAUACGAAGGUGGCAAGCGUUGUUCGGAUUUACUGGGCGUAAAGAGUGCGUAGGCGGUUUGAUAAGUCAGAAGUGAAAGCCCAGGGCUCAACCUUGGAAUU